ensembl:lncRNA
GGGUUGCAUUUGCCUGAGCAGAGACUACGCUGCAUCUGCUAGAGCCCUGAUAUCCUGCCCCCUGCCCAGACCCAGCUGCGUGGACCCUAGGCUGCCCCUGGCUUCCCUUGAAGAGGAGCCAGGGCCUCUCCCUCAUGGCUGCUCCAGAAGGAACCUGAGAAGAACAGUCCUGUCUGCCCGAAGAGGGAGCCAAGUCCCUCUGCCAUACCUAGAAGUCUGUGUGAGGCAGAGCUACGUGGGUGAGCAGAGAAAACCUGGAGCUGGAGCUGCUUGAGCCUUGCUUGCCCUUGGACCCUGCAGCUGAAUGAGGAAACUGAAACUGAGAAAAGCUAAGGAACUUGCUCAUAUGCUGGAUGAACUGGGAUUCCAGUGCAGGCUGAGUGACCCAGGGCCUGAGCUUCACACAAGGCUUGAAGAGGAAGCUUAGUUAUUUGCAUCAUUCAUGCCACAAACCUUCAGUGAAUAUCUGCUGACUGUCAGUCUACCCUUGGUACUAGAGCAUGAAGGAAAAAUUGACACAGACACUGCCCGUAAGGAGCUCAUGGCCUAGUAGAGGAUAGAGGUAAGUAAAAAGGCCCUUAUUCUUGGGCCAUGCGGCAUGCAUUUGAUCACUGUCUGCUCAGCAUUGUGCCAGGCACUGGAGAUGGGCAGUGUUCAGAUAAGGCCCUGCUCACAUGGAGCCCACAGUCUGAUGGGGUCACAUCCCCUCGCACUCAAGUUUCCAUAUAGCAGUUACAGUGCUCAGCCCGAGGCUUUCUCUGCUGCAGAGACCAGCUUGGUAAGUGACCAAAAGUGCCAGGAGCUCACCCUGUGGAGCAGCCCUAAGCCAGUGAAGGGUGGGAGUUGGUGGAUACACACCCGAGCUUCUUCAUCCCUUCUUCCUCCCUUGGGUGGGACAAUCCUGAGGUGUGUUCUAUACUAUCUCUCAACUGAGGACUGAGCCUCAGGUGCCCACAGAGGGAACCCAGCCCUUAACACACCUGCUUUGGCUUCCUUCCCUUUCCUGUCUCACUUCCCCUCUCCUCUAUGUCAGGAACUGGGAAAGCUCUGAGAUUUUACCCAACUUGCAAGCUAACAAGUUGGCCUGCCAUAUUCCCAAGGAUGCUGGCAGAAGACACCAGACUCCUGGUUCAGAAAUAAACAUCAGUUUUUUACCCACAGUAAUAGCAGUAGACAGAGGAUCAGCUUUUUCCUGUACCACUUUCCUGAACUCCAGUUCCCACAGGAUGACCCAGUAAGGGCCAGAUGAUGCCUGUACAUGCAGUGGGUUGCAUUACAGGAGAAUCCUGAGUUCAGGGAACCCAAAUCUUUCAUAAUAAGGCUUCAAGCAAACCUGCCCAACCUUUGCCCUAGAUGGAGAUAUGAUCUUUAUUACACUGGACAAUAAACAAAUCUGCCUUUUUCCCCGGAGGGAGACGCUAUCUCUCUCUUCUAAGGCUGCUCACUAUAAUAAUCACCCUUGAAAGGAUUUGAAACAAGGUUAGUCAGUGCUUCUACUGGCAAGUGUACAGAAAUGGGAAAGACCCAUGGGGAAUUGUGUCCCAACACCCUACUGGUACUUCUUGGCAUCACCUCUCAAAUAAGCUAUUUGGAUCCUUGUACCAGAGCCUGCUUCUGGGGGAAAUCCCCCAAGAUGGGGCGCUGACGCUAAGUGGGCAUUAGUGGAUUUCUGAUGUGACUCUCCUCUUUUCAGACCUGUCCUGCAAAGAAUGCCAGGGAGCCACAUGAAGGAAGAAGAGCUUUUCUCACCCAGAAUCGAUACUGUUGUGACUCCCAGGGAGGUGGUCCAAAGGAUUCUUUGGGUUUCAUUUUUCAGGUUUAAAUUUAGUCCAUCUAGAAUUUAUGGUGGUAUCUUGUGUGUGGUGGACAUUGGAGUUAUUUUUUUCUGAAUUGGUCUAAUAUCGUUUAUUGGAAAUUGUGCCUGGCCUGUCACCACUCUCUUCUAAUCUGCCUGAGAUCUGUUAUUUAGAACAUAUGACAGACAUACAAAAGAUGAGUUCACAAUAAGUGGACUAAAGAACACAUGGGCGUCACCAUCAUUGGAGAUUUGACACUCAGCGCUGGCACAGCGUGAGACAAACCUGUGAGAACAUCCACUCCUGACGACACCAUCUAAGCCUCGGGAGGUGCAGGGAGGUUGUGAACCUGCCCCAAAGUUCACAGAGGAUUUGAAUGUGAAUUGGGAAGGUUUAUUUCUAUAAAAAUAUUUAACAGUUAAUAAAAAUUUCAAGAAGUUAAAUAAAAUUUUGGUUAAAAAAUUUUUUUUUUUUAGAGAUUGGCACCUGAGCUAACAACUGUUGCCAAUCUUUUUUUUGUUUGUUUUUCUCCCCAAAUCCCCCCAGUACAUGGUUGUAGGUCCUUCCGGUUGUGGCAUAUGGGACGCCAUCUCAGCAUGGCCCCAUGAGCAGUGCCAUGUCCGCGCCCAGGAUCUGAACUGGCGAAACCCUGGGCCACCGAAGGAGAGCGUGUGAACUUAACCACUAGGCCACAGGGCCGGCCCCUAGUUU